rnacentral:rRNA from 1 species
GACGAACGCUGGCGGCGUGCUUAACACAUGCAAGUCGAACGAUGAUCUCCCGCUUGCGGGGGUGGUUAGUGUCGAACGGGUGAGUAAUACGUGAGUAACCUCCCCUUUACUCUGGGAUAAGCCUGGGAAACCGUGUCUAAUACUGCAUACUACUUCCUGCCGCGUGUUGUGGGGUGGAAAGGGUUUUCCUGGUUUUGGAUGGGCUCACGGCCUAUCAGCUUGUUGGUGGAGUAAUGGCUCACCAAGGCGUCGACGGGUAGCCGGCCUGAGAGGGUGACCGGGCAAAAUGGGGAUGGGAAAACGCCCAAAAUCCUUACGGGGGGCAGAGUGGGGAAAAUUGGAACAUGGGGGGAAGGCUGAUGCAGGGAAGCCGCGGGACGGAUGAACGCCUUUGGGUUGUAAAACCCUUUCAGCAGGGAAGAAGCCACGAGUGACGGUAACUGCAGAAGAAGCGCCGGCUAACUACGUG